GAUGAACGCUGGCGGCGUGCCUAAUACAUGCAAGUCGAGCGAACAGACGAGGAGCUUGCUCCUCUGACGUUAGCGGCGGACGGGUGAGUAACACGUGGAUAACCUACCUAUAAGACUGGGAUAACUUCGGGAAACCGGAGCUAAUACCGUAUAACAUGUUGAACCGCAUGGUUCAACAGUGAAAGACGGUCUUGCUGUCACUUAUAGAUGGAUCCGCGCCGCAUUAGCUAGUUGGUAAGGUAACGGCUUACCAAGGCAACGAUGCGUAGCCGACCUGAGAGGGUGAUCGGCCACACUGGAACUGGGACACGGUCCAGACUCCUACGGGAGGCAGCAGUAGGGAAUCUUCCGCAAUGGGCGAAAGCCUGACGGAGCAACGCCGCGUGAGUGAAGAAGGUCUUCGGAUCGUAAAACUCUGUUAUUAGGGAAGAACAAAUGUGUAAGUAACUAUGCACGUCUUGACGGUACCUAAUCAGAAAGCCACGGCUAACUACGUG
rnacentral:rRNA from 1 species